rnacentral:lncRNA from 1 species
CGGGAAGGGGCGCCCCGAGAGAGGCCCGCACAGGGCUAGGGGCUGCGGGGGCGUGGCUGGGACCCGGGGUCGGGAGAGCCGUUAGGCAGGCCGCGGGCUCGGGGAGGGCAGGGCUCCCCGCCGCCGCACAGCGAAGGGGCAGCGGAGGCGCAGGCACCGCUCGGCCACCUUUCCCGAGGCGCUGCAGCCCGGGGACUGGUGACCCCCCCUGGGCGCUGGGUCAGAGGUCAGAGGGUGGAGGGGCCAGGGAUCUCGAGAACAGCAGAGGCGCAGCCCCCGCCCCCCCGGCACUCGGUUGUCGCGGGUCUGUCCCCCACCCGCUGCUCUCCCACUGGGGCGUCCGGCUUCGGGUCUGGAGGCCCCGGUGCCCGCGCGUCCCUCAGUCUCCGGUCCGGUGCGGCCACCCCCUGACGCUUGCCCUCUGGGUUCCUUUGCACCUGGCGGGAACCUCCCUCCACCACCACCCCCUCCCCCCUGCGCACGCCUGGCCUUUCCUGGGGAAGAGGGAGCUUGGCAGAAGCGCUGGAGGCUCAGAGCCUGGGGUGGGGCAGCUGGGGGUGCAGGCGCACUGGUGGGGAUUGAUGGAGUUAGGCCAGCCCAGAGCCAGAGAAGGGACAGGCGAUGAGUCAGGUGGGGGAAGGGGCCCGGUGCAGACAAAGGCUGCGGGCACCACCCAGUCGCCGCCCCUCCGCCGGGAGCCUAGACCUACCGGCACACAGGCCCCCUGGGAGCGGCCUGACUGUUGCCAAGGGGACUUGGGUGAGUCCCAGACCUGCCCCCGCUCCUGCCAUCCUACCAGUGGCAUGUCCCUUUAGCUGGAAGGCCUUUGACCCUGCCUGGUUAGUUCACUGCCUACUGAUGACGCUUUUGGCUCCAGGCCCCUGGGCAAGGAGCAAGACAGGGCGGCAGCACUUCUGACCCAGGGCUAGCGAGGCCUGGAGGGCAGAGCAGCCCCGGUGGCAGAGCAGCCCUGGUGGUAGAGCAGCCCUGGUGGUAGAGCAGCCCCCUGCAGGUAGAGCAGCCCCCUACAGUAGAGCAGCCCCUGAGGGUAGAGCAGCCCCUGACGGUAGAGCAGCCCUGGUGGUAGAGCAGCCCUGGUGGUAGAGCAGCCCCUGACGGUAGAGCAGCCCUGGUGGUAGAGCAGCCCUGGUGGUAGAGCAGCCCCUGACGGUAGAGCAGCCCUGGUGGUAGAGCAGCCCUGGUGGUAGAGCAGCCCUGGUGGUAGAGCAGCCCCUGACGGUAGAGCAGCCCUGGUGGUAGAGCAGCCCUGGUGGUAGAGCCAGUUAAGAGAGUCUCUAGAGCAGCCAGGCCUCUGGGGGUCCAAUAGCCCAUAAGACAAAUCCUGCCACCUCUCUGAGCUUGGAUGUGGAGAUAAUAGAAUUUACCCUAAGCGUGAGGACCCCAGGGGCUGAAGGGUGCCCAGCACUCUGCUGAGGGCCCUCAUGGGGGAUGUGGAGGCCAGGGUGCCAAGAGGGGUCUCUGAAAAGGAGAGGGAGCUGUAUUUCCCGAGGGAGUCAGCUGCAGCGCCCCAGAGCCCAGAGCACAGGAGAGGGGGUUUAAAGGCAAAGAGACUGAGGUGCCGGGGCGGGGAGGGGGUGUUGGGAUGGACGGGCUCCGGGUGUGUGCUUCUGUGGUGAGGAGGUGGCGCCCAGCAGGCUCCCUGCCAGCUCUGUGGAGCCGCGGGCUCACCGCUCCCUCCUGCCCUUGCGGAUGAAAGAGCUCUGGGCGCACCCAGGCCCCCGGCACCUGCUCCCUGAGCCUGCACAGACCUGCUCCCCGCACCUGGCUGGGCCAGGAGCAGGGGUGCCCUGCCUGCCCCGGCCUCUCCCAGGCCCUCCUACUGUGCCCACAGGGGUGGGGGGGGAGCAGGGAGCCGGCAGCCCCCUGCUCCUUGCGCCUCCUGGGCAGUGGGAGGCCCGGGGGCAGCAGGCCAGGCUGCGACCCAGCCCAGCAGUCUCCGGACACUCGGAGCCCAAGCUGCUGGGGCGUCACGGGGAGGCUGCGGUCCCCAGGGAGCCCUGCUUCCUGCUCAGCCGUCUCCGAACAAGACUCUGGGGCACGAUGCCAACGUUCCCCCCGUGGAGGACGCUCUGACCAGCUCGGACCCCAGGAUGAUUUGCCACCUUGGGGGGUGGGGGAUGGGGACAAGCCACCACCCUGAGAGGCUCUGGGGCUGGGCUGCCGGACCUCAUGCUGACCCCUCAUUGUGCUGUGUCCCGCUGUCCCCAGUUACCUGCUUGGAGAACCUGGGAGAAUGCCAGUUCCUACCCCACAGGCUGGCAGGGAGGCUUAAGUGAGGUAAGGGGCUGGGGGCAGGGCCAGGCAAGGGCAGAAGCCCUAUCCCUGCUGGUGUUCGCCGUUUCCCUCUGCAGCGGAGCCUUUCUCUCCGCUGCG